rnacentral:rRNA from 1 species
ACUCCUACGGGAGGCAGCAGUGGGGAAUAUUGCACAAUGGGCGCAAGCCUGAUGCAGCCAUGCCGCGUGUGUGAAGAAGGCCUUGGGUUGUAAAGCACUUUCAGUCGUGAGGAAGGUAGUGUAGUUAAUAGCUGCAUUAUUUGACGUUAGCGACAGAAGAAGCACCGGCUAACUCCGUGCCAGCAGCCGCGGUAAUACGGAGGGUGCGAGCGUUAAUCGGAAUUACUGGGCGUAAAGCGCAUGCAGGCGGCUUGUUAAGUCAGAUGUGAAAGCCCGGGGCUUAACCUCGGAAUUGCAUUUGAAACUGGCAGGCUAGAGUCUUGUAGAGGGGGUAGAAUUUCAGGUGUAGCGGUGAAAUGCGUAGAGAUCUGAAGGAAUACCAGUGGCGAACGGCGGCCCCCUGGACAAAGACUGACGCUCAGAUGCGAAAGCGUGGGAGCAAACAGGAUUAGAUACCCCUGGUAGACUGUCA